rnacentral:piRNA from 1 species
UAAAAAGCAGGACUGAGAUGAUU